rnacentral:rRNA from 1 species
UACAGAGGAGCCAAGCGUUGUCCGGAUUGACUGGGCGUAAAGCGCACGCAGGCGGACGCGCGCGUGGGGUGUGAAAUCUGGCCGCUUAACGGCCAGGCGCCAUCCCAUACGGCGCGUCUGGAGUGAUGCAGAGGUCGGUGGAAUUGCCGGUGUAGUGGUGAAAUGCGUAGAUAUCUGAAGGAACAUCAGUGGCGAAAGCGACUUCCUGGACCAAUACUGACGCUCAUGUGCGAAAGCGUGGGGAGCAAACAGG